ensembl:lncRNA
AUGGCUGACAGUACUGCCACCUCUACUAGUGACAGCACUACUACUUCAGCUACUACUGACAGUAUUGUAAGUACUGAUAUUCCUACAACUGAUGGAAUUACCCCAAACAGCAUUGGUACUACUAUUGACAUGACUACUUCUACUACUGACCUUACUACUACAGACAGUACUACAACUAUAUUUAUGUACACAAUGAUUUCUGAUGUAGCUUCUACAAGCACAGCAAGUCCUCCAGCCAGUACUUCCACUACCCCUGCAGAAACAAGUACUAAUAAUAUUACCUUUAUAUUUGACACUGACAGUGUUCCUACUAUCAGUACCACCAUGACUGAUACUCGCCUUACAACUUACUUCAUUAGUACUAGUGACUUUCCUAAAGCUGGUGUAGACUCUAUUACUCCAUCAGCUUUUACUACUGUCAGUAGUACUGUUAGUACUGAAGGUCCUGGUGCAUUUCCAGACUUUAGCAGUACAGCAGGACCUACAGCAGACCCAGCCCCAACAAGCAGUCCAACUCUGGAGACUGGAGACACUGUGUACAAACCAGCUCCCACAGUACCAACCACCACCACUCCCAUUACCACUAUUAGCACUUACAGUCCCACCAGUUACACCAGUACAAACAGCCCCACUACCCCAAGCCGCAGUACUGACUCUGAGGUGUCUAUUUCUGACCCAGUGACUCCGCCCUCUGACUCCACCUCCUCACCAGACAGCACAGACUUCGCUGUAUCUGGAACUGGUAUGACCAACUUAAUAAUUACCCUAUCUGCUGAUGGUACUACAACAACAUCAACUGGAACACCAACAACUACAACCAUCACAGAAAUACCUCCGCCCAGUGAAGGUGCUCCAUCUGGAGAUACUCCACCCACUAGGUUGGCCCCAACCAAUCAGGCUGGAGAUCCUCGACCUGCAGACGCUGACACGACUUCUCCUGAUGUUCCUCCAGACACACAAAUAGAAGUACCAUCUCCUGAUGUACCACCUCCUGAUGAAGCUCCACCUGAUGUACCUCCUCCUGAUGUACCACCUCCUGAUGAAGCUCCUCCUGAUGUACCUCCUGAUCUACCACCUCCUAAUGCACCACCUCCUGAUGAAGCUCCUCCUGAUGUACCACCUCCUGAUGAAGCUCCUCCUGAUGUACCUCCUGAUCUACCACCUCCCAAUGAAGCUCCUUCUGAUAUACCAUCUCCAGCUGAAGCUGCUCCUGAUGUAACUCCAUCUGAUGGUUCUCCUCCGGAUGUCCGUUUUCCUGAUGUACCUCUGGAUGAAGCUCCAUCUGAUGUACCUCCCUCUGAUGUAUCUCCUCUGGAUGUUCCUCUUCCUGAUGUACCUUCUCCUGAUCUACCUCCUCCAGAUGUACUCCCCUCUGAUGUACCUCCUGCAGCUGUACCCCCAUCUGAUGUAUCUCCUCCAGAUGUACCUCCAGAUGUACCUCUUCCUGAUGUACCUUCUCCUGAUCUACCUCCUCCAGAUGUACCUCUUCCUGAUGUACCUUCUCCUGAUCUACCUCCUCCAGAUGUACCUCCUCCGGAUCUACCUCCUCCUGAUGUACCUUUUCCUGAUCAACCUUCUCCAGAUGUACCUCCUCCAGAUGUACCUCCUCCUGAUGUACCUUCUCCUGAUCAACCAUCUCCAGAUGUACUUCCCUCUAAUGUAUCUCCUCCAGAAGCACCCUUCUUUUGGACUUCAGACACUCCUCCAGAUGUACCUCCCUCUGAUGUACCGCCACCAGAUGUUCGCCCAGAAGUGCCCUCCUCUAAGACUCCUGACACUCUGAUAGAUUUACCUCCUCUUGAAGGAAUACCUCUUGAAGUAUCUCCUCCUAAUGCCUCUGUAGAAUCCUUGUUGCCUCCUGCUGUAGGAGGAGGAGGUGAUACUGCACCAGACACAAGGUCCACCACCUUAGAUCGGUCUGACUCUGCUGGGGAUUUGGCCCCUGUGGACUUCACCUACCCAUUUCCAGAUGAUCCAAUUUCUGUUGAUCCCAGGAACAUUUCAUAUGAUUCCCUUGAAUCUGUUGAUGUUACUGGACCAAAUUCAGUUGAUUCUCGACUGGUCUCACAAGGGCUAGAUAUAGUGGAAACAGGAAAUAGUGGAAUGGAAGCAAUUGGAUCAGAUUCCCUUGUACCAGAUAGUGCAAGUCCUGGUCUAGAUGCUAGACCAGAUUUUCCUCAAGUAGUAGAUGAUCCAGGAGUAGAUCCUUCAGCAGCUCAAAUGGAAGCAAAGUCUUCUGGAAAGGAUUCAGCUGCCAGAGGACCAGAAGGAGGCUCAGAGUUGGGUGAAAAGGAAGACUCUGAACAAAAGACGACAGGAAAGGAAAAAGGUAUGAAAUGA